AUUGAACGCUAGCGGGAUGCUUUACACAUGCAAGUCGAACGAGUGGCGGACGGGUGGGUAAUAUAUCGGAACGUGCCCAGUAGCUGGGGAUAACUAAUCGAAAGAGUGGCUAAUACCGCCUUCUAGUGGAGCGGCCGGUAUCGGAUUAGCUUGGUGUGGGGGUAAAGGCUCACCAAGGCAACGAUCCGUAGCGGGUUUGAGAGGAUGACCAGCCACACUGGGACUGAGACACGGCCCAGACUCCUACGGGAGGUAGCAGUGGGGAAUUUUGGACAAUGGGGGAAACCCUGAUCCAGCCAUCCCGCGUGUAUGAGAAGGCCUUCGGGUUGUAAAGUACUUUUGGCAGAGAAGCGGUAUCUGCAGAAUAAGCACCGGCUAACUACGUGCCAGCCGCCGCGGUAAUUC
rnacentral:rRNA from 1 species